AGGAUGAACGCUGGCGGCGUGCUUAACACAUGCAAGUCGAACGAUGAAGGCUGGAGCUUGCUCUGGCUGGAUUAGUGGCGAACAGGUGAGUAACACGUGAGUAACCUGCCCCAGACUCUGGGAUAAGCGCUGGAAACGGCGUCUAAUACCGGAUACGAGCUUCCACCGCAUGGUGAGGAGCUGGAAAGAAUUUCGGCUGGGAUGGACUCGCGGCCUAUCAGCUUGUUGGUGAGGUAAUGGCUCACCAAGGCGACGACGGGUAGCCGGCCUGAGAGGGUGACCGGCACACUGGGACUGAGACACGGCCCAGACUCCUACGGGAGCAGCAGUGGGGAAUAUUGCACAAUGGGCGCAAGCCUGAUGCAGCAACGCCGCGUGAGGACGAAGGCCUGGUGUAACUCUUUAGUAGGAAGAAGCGAGGUGUUAUCUACUUCAUGACGGUACCUAGCAGAAAAGCAACGGCUAACUACGUGCCACG
rnacentral:rRNA from 1 species